GAUGAACGCUGGCUACAGGCUUAACACAUGCAAGUCGAGGGGAAACGACGGGGAAGCUUGCUUCCCCGGGCGUCGACCGGCGCACGGGUGAGUAACGCGUAUCCAACCUGCCUCUGACUGAGGGAUAACCCGUCGAAAGUCGGCCUAAUACCUCAUGGCAUCGUCUGCGGGCAUCCAACGACGAUUAAAGAUUUCAUCGGUCAGAGAUGGGGAUGCGUCUGAUUAGCUUGUUGGCGGGGUAACGGCCCACCAAGGCGACGAUCAGUAGGGGUUCUGAGAGGAAGGUCCCCCACAUUGGAACUGAGACACGGUCCAAACUCCUACGGGAAGCAGCAGUGAGGAAUAUUGGUCAAUGGGCGAGAGCCUGAACCAGCCAAGUAGCGUGCAGGAUGACGGCCCUAUGGGUUGUAAACUGCUUUUAUGCGGGGAUAAAGUGAGGGACGCGUCCUUCAUUGCAGGUACCGCAUGAAUAAGGACCGGCUAAUUCCGUG
rnacentral:rRNA from 1 species